CGAAAAACCAUUUACAAUUCAUAAAAAUCUAGUUCAGAAAGCCACACAACCAUUAUAAUAUACUUAUAUUACUGUAUUAUGUAUACCCUUUAUGACCCCGAACAGGAUGAGUAGAUAUCAAACAAUGUCAACUCUCCCCACUGGCCAAUCGGCCCAGAAUAUAUCGCCACUUUAUAAAAAAUCGCCCAACUCUUGUUUACCGACUCGCCGGGCCCAACGUUUGAAAAAGUGUAAAAUCAAUUGAAGAAUCAGUCCUACAACUUACUUAUUAACGAAAAGGGUUUAAACCCCACUGAAUAAAGGUCUGCCAACUCGCCCCACUUAUAAAAAUGUCUUGCUUCCUUUAAGUAUGUUAAAUUAAUGACAGAUCGUAUCUAGCAGGGCCGUAACUACCUAUGAGGCAGGGGAGGCCUCCCCUGAAUUUUCUACACCA
rnacentral:lncRNA from 1 species